UUGACCACCUUGCCUUCUCUUCUCUUUCACAGCAAAGUUUGGAGUAAUCUUCCAUCCAUCAGAACAGAGAUUGCUGACCAUCCCCAGCAAGUGGUGACCCCAACAUGACCGUUUUGCGACAGACACCAUACCGAUUGCCCCAAAACGAAAAAUCUGCAUGUAGGGAUGCCUCGAGUGGCUUUGACACCAGGAAUCUCUGACAUAUCCCACAUGGAAUGCCACCUAAGUAGAGGAUUUCCUAG
rnacentral:lncRNA from 1 species